UCAAUUUUCUAAUAAGCAAGUGUCCAGGCAUGAGCCAUGUAUAAAAUGCUCGCACUGGUCAUGCUAGACAUCUUUACUGACUGCUGAAACCAAGAGAGUGCGUGGAAUGGAGAAACUUGCACAAGAUCUGAAGAAAGGAUUCCUCAAUCUAUUUGAAGCUAUCAGAGGUAGCAGAAACUCUCAAGGAAAUGAAAAUGGGGAAGAAACCAAGUCAGAAUCCGUGGAGGGAGUAACUGUACAAGAAGAGGGCAUCAAAGUCACAGCCAGGGGUCCAAAACUCCCAGAUGUGCCCAAAGGUCCACCCCCUAAGAAUGCUUGAAGAUUCUGAUAUACUAAAAACACAAGUCUUGUACUCAAUCUUGAUUUCUGCUCUGUUUUUUUUCUUUUCUCUCUCUCUAAAAAGUAAUUUCUUUGGGGUUACCCGUAUUGUAAUCAACCAUCCAUGUCUACUUCUAUUUGUUUCAUCGGGU